rnacentral:rRNA from 1 species
ACCAGACUCCUACGGGAGGCAGCAGUGGGGAAUAUUGCACAAUGGGGGAAACCCUGAUGCAGCGACGCCGCGUGAGUGAGGAAGUAUUUCGGUAUGUAAAGCUCUAUCAGCAGGGAAGAAAAUGACGGUACCUGACUAAGAAGCCCCGGCUAACUACGUGCCAGCAGCCGCGGUAAUACGCAGGGGGCAAGCGUUAUCCGGAUUUACUGGGCGUAAAAGGAGCGUAGACGGAUAAGCAAGUCUGAUGUGAAAAUCCGGGGCCCAACCCCGGAACUGCUUUGGAAACUGUGCAGCUCGAGUGCAGGAGAGGUAAGCGGAAUUCCUAGUGUAGCGGUGAAAUGCGUAGAUAUUAGGAGGAACACCAGUGGCGAAGGCGGCUUACUGGACUGUAACUGACGUUGAGGCUCGAAAGCGUGGGGAGCAAACAGGAUUAGAUACCCGCGUAUU